rnacentral:tRNA from 1 species
CAAAAAUGAAGAAAUUUCUUCUCAGGGCA